GAUGAACGCUGGCGGCGUGCCUAAUACAUGCAAGUCGAGCGAACGGACGUGAAGCUUGUUUCUCUGAUGUUAGUGGCGGACGGGUGAGUAACAUGUGGAUAACCUACCCAUCAGACUGGGAUAACUUCUGGACCCCGGAGCUAAUACCGGAUAAUAUUUUGAACCGCAUGGUUCAUAAGCGUAAGACGGUCUUGCUGUCUCUUCUAGAUGGAUCCGCGCUGCAUUAGCUAGUUGGUAAGGUAACGGCUUACCAAGGCAACGAUGCAUAGCCGACCUGAGAGAGUGAUCGGCCACAGUGGGAGUGGGACACGGGCCAGACUCCGAAGGGAGGCAGGAGUAGGAAAACUACGGAAGUGGGCGGAAGGAAGACGGAGCAAAGGCGCGAAAGCGAUGAAGGUCAUCGGAUCGUGAAGCACUAUUAUUAGGGGAGAACAAAUGUGUAAGUAAAUGUACAAAUAUUGACGGUACCUGGUGAAAAAGCCACGGCUAACUACGUG
rnacentral:rRNA from 1 species